GGGUGCUUGGCGCAAUGGCUAGCGUGUUUGGCUUCGAUGCCUUAUGUGAUCCGCUUACGUAAUUACACGUACCAAAAGGUUGCAGGUUCGAGUCCUGCAGUGCUCA